UACAGAGGGUGCAAGCGUUGUUCGGAAUUACUGGGCGUAAAGGGCUCGUAGGCGGCCAACUAAGUCAGACGUGAAAUCCCUCGGCUUAACCGGGGAACUGCGUCUGAUACUGGAUGGCUUGAGUGUGGGAGAGGGAUGCGGAAUUCCAGGUGUAGCGGUGAAAUGCGUAGAUAUCUGGAAGAACACCCGUGGCGAAGGCGGCUCUCUGGGACGGUACUGACGCUGAGACGCGAAAGCGUGGGGAGCGAACCGG
rnacentral:rRNA from 1 species